GGCGAGAUGGCCGAGCGGUCUAAGGCGCCAGACUAAGGAUCAGUCAGUUCACACUGGCAAACCUGAUUCCUCACAGAAUCAUCUGGUCUUUCGGGGCGUGGGUUCGAAUCCCACUCUCGUCA
rnacentral:tRNA from 1 species